rnacentral:SRP_RNA from 3 species
UAUAAAAGCUACCACAAUGGUAUCUUCUGAAUUAGGUCAGGUCGGGAACGAAGCAGCCUUAAGGGGGCGCUAUCAUGUGUGGUAGUUUUUAUUUUAUG